CUUUUGCUUCUGGAAGAUCUGCUUAUUCAUUCUCAACACAAUGGCCUGGGCCCUCCUUCUCUUUUCAAUCCUGGUCGCCUUUGAGCCCAGUUUCCAGCAACUGCAGACCUUGAAGGACCCGGAAUCGGUGGCCGAAGGGGGGACGGUCACCCUGUCUUGCAGGUACAAUAGUGGAAACAUUGGGGAUGGCAACUAUCCUUGGUGGACCCAGCAUGUGUCUGGGAGUAAACCUCGGCAGGUGAUGCAUAGCACCAGCACCCGGCCCUCGGGGGUCCCGGCCCGUUUUUCGGGAUCGAGGUCUGGAAAUGUGAUGUCCCUGACCAUCACAGGGGCCCUGGUGGAAGAUGAAGCCAUGUAUUACUGUGCUGUAUGGACAGGGAGUGAGUAA